rnacentral:rRNA from 1 species
CCUAAUACAUGCAAGUCGAGCGAGCGGAACCAACAGAUUUACUUCGGUAAUGACGUUGGGAAAGCGAGCGGCGGAUGGGUGAGUAACACGUGGGGAACCUGCCCCUAAGUCUGGGAUACCAUUUGGAAACAGGUGCUAAUACCGGAUAAUAAAGCAGAUCGCAUGAUCAGCUUUUGAAAGGCGGCGUAAGCUGUCGCUAAGGGAUGGCCCCGCGGUGCAUUAGCUAGUUGGUAAGGUAACGGCUUACCAAGGCGACGAUGCAUAGCCGAGUUGAGAGACUGAUCGGCCACAUUGGGACUGAGACACGGCCCAAACUCCUACGGGAGGCAGCAGUAGGGAAUCUUCCACAAUGGACGCAAGUCUGAUGGAGCAACGCCGCGUGAGUGAAGAAGGUUUUCGGAUCGUAAAGCUCUGUUGUUGGUGAAGAAGGAUAGAGGUAGUAACUGGCCUUUAUUUGACGGUAAUCAACCAGAAAGUCACGGCUAACUACGUGCCAGCAGCCGCGGUAAUACGUAGGUGGCAAGCGUUGUCCGGAUUUAUUGGGCGUAAAGCGAGCGCAGGCGGAAAAAUAAGUCUAAUGUGAAAGCCCUCGGCUUAACCGAGGAACUGCAUCGGAAACUGUUUUUCUUGAGUGCAGAAGAGGAGAGUGGAACUCCAUGUGUAGCGGUGGAAUGCGUAGAUAUAUGGAAGAACACCAGUGGCGAAGGCGGCUCUCUGGUCUGCAACUGACGCUGAGGCUCGA